AAAAAGACAAACCCUGGGUUUCCGUGUCCAACUUUGACUAUCCGUCUUAUAUGAAUUUUUUUUUAUAAUUCGUAUUUUUAUUGUUGUUAGAUGAUAAAACAUGAUUAAUAUUUUAUGCGUGACUUAUCUUUUUAAUUUUUUUUAUAAUUUUUUUAAAUAAGACGGACGGUCAAACGUUGGGCACGGAAACCAGGGUUUGUCUUUUU
rnacentral:pre_miRNA from 1 species